UACGUAGGGGGCUAGCGUUGUCCGGAAUCAUUGGGCGUAAAGAGCGUGUAGGCGGCCCGGUAAGUCCGCUGUGAAAGUCCAGGGCUCAACCCUGGGAUGCCGGUGGAUACUGUCGGGCUCGAGUCCGGAAGAGGUGAGUGGAAUGCCGAGUGUGAGAGGUGAAAUUCGUAGAAUAUUCGGCGGAACACCAGUGGCGAAGGCGACUCACUGGCCCGAUACUGACGCUGAGGCGCGAAAGCGUGGGGAGCAAACAGGAU
rnacentral:rRNA from 1 species